UCCCGCUGCCCUCCUUGGGCGUUUCCUCCCUAGACUUGGGCCGUUCGUUCAAUCGAACGGCCCUCUUUUUUUGGGCAG
rnacentral:sRNA from 1 species